GACAGAGGUGCUGAGCGUUAGGCGGAAUCACUGGGCUUAAAGCGUGUGUAGGCGGACUUGUAAGUACCUUGUGAAAUCCCACGGCUCAACCGUGGAACUGCUGGGUAUACUGCGAGUCUUGAGCCACCUAGGGGCGAGCGGAACAAGUGGUGGAGCGGUGAAAUGCGUAGAUAUCACUUGGAACGCCAAUGGUGAAAACAGCUCGCUGGGGGUGUGCUGACGCUGAGACACGAAAGCCAGGGGAGCAAACGGG
rnacentral:rRNA from 1 species